rnacentral:rRNA from 1 species
GACGAACGCUGGCGGCGUGCUUAACACAUGCCAGUCGAACGGAAAGGCCCUGCUUUUGUGGGGUGCUCGAGUGGCGAACGGGUGAGUAACACGUGAGUAACCUGCCCUUGACUUUGGGAUAACUUCAGGAAACUGGGGCUAAUACCGGAUAGGAGCUCCUGCUGCAUGGUGGGGGUUGGAAAGUUUCGGCGGUUGGGGAUGGACUCGCGGCUUAUCAGCUUGUUGGUGGGGUAGUGGCUUACCAAGGCUUUGACGGGUAGCCGGCCUGAGAGGGUGACCGGCCACACUGGGACUGAGAUACGGCCCAGACUCCUACGGGAGGCAGCAGUGGGGAAUAUUGCACAAUGGGCGGAAGCCUGAUGCAGCAACGCCGCGUGCGGGAUUACGGCCUUCGGGUUGUAAACCGCUUUCGCCUGUGACGAAGCGUGAGUGACGGUAAUGGGUAAAGAAGCACCGGCUAACUACGUG